CGGUCAGAGUAGGUCCAAUCAUACGGCUUCAUCCCACCCCGAAAGCAGAUGAGCGCUGGGGAAUGUUUUCAGCCACCUGGAGGAGGAAGUUCAGCGCGGAAGAAAUGUUACCAGACUUCACCGAUCUGGUAUCUGGACUUUUUUGAUGAUCUCAUAGAGAUUGUGUGUGCAGAUGGGCGGUUAAAGUUCUGGGAGGGAAAGAUUUGUAACUUUAAGGAUAUAUAUGAAGCCGAAAACACCCACAACAAUGGGGUAACUAACAUAAACCUCGCCGGUGACGGAGUUGAGUGAACGAAUCGAUUUUCUGAGACUGGAAACGUACACGUAAGGUUGUCAGAUCGAUUGGGGAUUUACGUCUGUAUAUGGGCGAAGUAAGUUCUAUGUUUCAAGCAAUUUUUUAAGCUCACCUAGGGCGCAGACAGAUUUUACUUGUUCUUUUAAAAUACUGUAUAUUCUAAGUCAUUUAAUUUUCAGUCUGUAAUGAGUAUGUCAUCAAGUGCCUUAAUUCUUAUUCUUUUUAGCUCACGUACGCAGCGGUUCGGCAGGAAGCAUUUCAGCAAUCCGCCGGAUCAAAUCCGUCCACAGCUUUCCCAGCUCAACAUCACGCAUCCGAGGAGGAGCUUCGAUGUAUCCUAGAGUUUCACCAGCAGGGUUACCGGUGACAUGUUUGGAAGUGGCGGGCGGUACAGUCAUGACUGGCAGCCAGGGCCACACUGUUAACGUGUUCCGGCUCGAUAGCCACCUAUUGCAGUUCACCCUAAACGGCCAUUGCGGUCCUAUUACAUGUAUUUUCAUAGACCAGUGGCAGGCUGAGAUGGGCGCAUCUGGUUGCCAGGAUGGUGUGCUAUAUGUGAGGGACUUGAUACGGGGUGCCUGUAUGUACAAAAUUGAAGCCCAUGACGACUCAAUCGUCGCACUUGCCUGUUCCCCGAGUUACGCAAUAUCGCUCGGACUGAACGAAUGAAUAC